ensembl:lncRNA
CGGCGCAGAUCCAACCAGCUGGAGGAUCCGGAGAGAUUUCUGAGGCGAUACGAACGCUCCUUACGUGGACUGGCUUCCUUUAUUUCUUCUUAAGAUUUUGAAGAAGAGGCUGUGCAGGACAGUAGAAGCUGUUGAAGUUUUGACUGUGGGUUUGUACUCUCCCUCUCACCCACGCUCUGUCUCCAAAAGCUGCAGAGGUUUCGCUGAGAUGGCAAAAACGCGUCGCGACGCAGGAACCGAUAUAAACUGUCAGCCUCCAAGAACACCAACACACGCACAUCUUGUCUUCAUUGGACCUCCAAAAGAAAUACAAGCAUACAGGUUUAGAUCAACAUGAGGGUGAGUAUAAAUGAUGACAAAUGAUGAAAUUUAUUUGUGGGUGAACUACCGCUUUAAAGCUAACAUUUAAAUUUUUGGCUGCACCUGUUGUUAUUUCUAAACACAACAGUAUGAUUUACUGCUGUCCGGUCAAUUUGCAGGAAAUUAUGUCUUU